CGUUUCGAAAGGAACCCUAAUCCCGCAUACGUCCUACGGGAGAAAGUGGGGGAUCUUCGGACCUCACGCUAUCAGAUGAGCCUAGGUCGGAUUAGCUAGUUGGCGAGGUAAAGGCUCACCAAGGCGACGAUCCGUAACUGGUCUGAGAGGAUGAUCAGUCACACUGGAACUGAGACACGGUCCAGACUCCUACGGGAGGCAGCAGUGGGGAAUAUUGGACAAUGGGCGAAAGCCUGAUCCAGCCAUGCCGCGUGUGUGAAGAAGGUCUUCGGAUUGUAAAGCACUUUAAGUUGGGAGGAAGGACAGUAAGUUAAUACCUUGCUGUUUAGACGUUACCGACAGAAUAAGCACCGCAACUCG
rnacentral:rRNA from 1 species